rnacentral:rRNA from 1 species
CCUACGGGAGACAGCAGUGAGGAAUAUUGGUCAAUGGGCGAGAGCCUGAACCAGCCAAGUCGCGUGAGGGAGUACUGCCCUAUGGGUUGUAAACCUCUUUUGUCGGGGAGCAAAAGCCGGACGUGUCCGGCUGUGAGAGUACCCGAAGAAAAAGCAUCGGCUAACUCCGUGCCAGCAGCCGCGGUAAUACGGAGGAUGCGAGCGUUAUCCGGAUUUAUUGGGUUUAAAGGGUGCGCAGGCGGAUUUUUAAGUCAGCGGUAAAAUCGGGGGGCUCAAACCCAUCCAGCCGUUGAAACUGGGGAUCUAGAGUGUGCGAGAGGUAUGCGGAAUGCGUGGUGUAGCGGUGAAAUGCAUAGAUAUCACGCAGAACCCCGAUUGCGAAGGCAGCAUACCGGUGCACAACUGACGCUCAGGCACGAAAGCGUGGGUAUCGAACAGGAUUAGAUACCCUUGUAGUC